rnacentral:rRNA from 1 species
UACGUAGGGUGCGAGCGUUGUCCGGAAUUAUUGGGCGUAAAGAGCUCGUAGGCGGUUUGUCACGUCUGCUGUGAAAUCCCGAGGCUCAACCUCGGGCCUGCAGUGGGUACGGGCAGACUGGAGUGCGGUAGGGGAGAAUGGAAUUCCUGGUGUAGCGGUGGAAUGCGCAGAUAUCAGGAGGAACACCGGUGGCGAAGGCGGAUCUCUGGGCCUGUUCUGACGCUGAGGCGCGAAAGCUAGGGGAGCGAACAGG